UACGAAGGGUGCAAACGUUGCUCGGAAUUAUUGGGCGUAAAGCGCACGUAGGCGGCUUUUCAAGUCCCAUGUGAAAUCCCACGGCUUAACCGUGGAAGUGCAUGGGAAACUGGAAAGCUUGAGUACUUAAGAGGAUCGCGGAAUUCCCGGUGUAGAGGUGAAAUUCGUAGAUAUCGGGAGGAACACCAGUGGCGAAGGCGGCGACCUGGGCCAAUAUUGACGCUGAGGUGCGAAAGCGUGGGGAGCAAACAGG
rnacentral:rRNA from 1 species